UAGCUCGAGUGUUAGCACAGCCACUACGGUCGGAAUAGUUCUUUUUUACAAUCAGUAUUACUCGUUCGAAUUAUUGGCCUUAGGAGAUUUCUGAAGAUCAUUUCACUAUACUGAGUAACUUGUCCUUUACUCAAUGCACACGCUUUUACUUCCAAGACAACUGAUGGUGUACAAAUCUGCAAACAUGAAAACAAUUCCGAAGGCAACAAGUCAGUGUUAAAUACUGUAAACUGGACUAUGUCACUCACAAUUGAAGUGCAUAGAAACGAACUGGUAAAUCGUCAAGGUGAAGUAGAAAUCAUAUCAGAAAGUGAUAAAGAUAUUGAGCAACAAAACUUAAUUGAUAAUGAAGCAUUGAAACUUGAAGAAUAUGGUGAGUCAUUGAAUAAGAGUCAAAGAAAAGAAAAAUUACCACAGACCAAUAAAGUCAUUAUAAAUACAGAUCCUAAGGAAGAGUUGUCUCGAUUGAAGCAACUGGUAUUUAAAAAAACGCACAUGGUUAAUAUUUACAAGAAAAAACUGAAAAGUACUAGGCGUGAUCUUGGAUAUGUUGAUAAUGCACCAAAUGAUAGGUACAAAGCUGCAUUGCAAAGUAUAUUUAACAGUGAUCAAAUCUAAUAUUUAGUAACAACUCAAACAAAAAACACGCAAAUUAAAUGUUGGUCAAAUGUCACGAUUAAGAAUGCCUUAUAAUUAAAAUUCGCUUGUGGAACGAGCGGAUAUCAAAAACUUUUACGACGAGAGUUUCCACUCCCAUCUUUCUGAAACCUGAGAGAAAGGAUGGAAGGCUUCAUUCCCUGACGGAAUAUUAGACCAAAUAUUAGAGAUUUUACAAAGCAGGUUCAGAGAAUUCAGAGUUGAGGUGGACAACCAACGCGACCAAUUAGAUGAAUUGAACAAUAAUGAAUAAAGACGAAUGAUUUGAUUUGUCUACACCAAUAUUCUAAACAUCGUUCUUUUACAUUAUAAGAAAAAAAGUCUGAGAAAUUAUUUUUGUUUAUUUCAAUUGCCUUAAAGAAUAAAUAAAAAAGUAUAUAAUCGUGACACGUUUCUUUAGAUUACCGCAACGUACAGUUUCUUAUUGGAAUAAAACAUGCUUAAUUCGGCAACCUAAAGAAACGGGAUCCAUAAUUCUGUUAAUCGUUCCGUUUCCAUUCUUUUUCAGUUGUUGGCUUAUGUACAGUAAUUUAUGCUAGAAUACAACGCUUAUCCUUUGCGACUUUUCUGCUUUCUUUCGUAAGUACCUCUGGAGUACAGGUAUAAAAAAUAGCAUGAGGCCACUAAUCGCAAUCAUCGAC
rnacentral:misc_RNA from 1 species